rnacentral:tRNA from 1 species
AGGGGCGCAUGUUCCUCGGCGGCGAUGCGGUCUCCAAAACCGCGUGGGCAGGUUCGAUUCCUGCCGCCCCUG